UAUUUACAAAAUAGUUUGUAUUAAUUUUUCGUUAUUUAAUUAAUCAAUAUAACCUCGAUAACCACUUUAUGCAAUAUUUAUUUGUUGUGGUUAUAAAAGGUAAGGUAAACAAGUUCAUCUUUUCUACUAAUAAAACGCAAUCAUUUAUUAAGAAUUUUUGAGAAAACGGUACUUUUCAUUCGUUCAGUUUCGCUUGUAGGUUUCUCAUGUGAAACUGUAUCCAUUAGAAACUUGUAAUGGAACAGUUUCUUUAGAAACAACAUUUAUACGAGCUUCAUCAUAAAGCACACGGAGAUUAAUUGAAUACA